GUACUCGCUCCGGCUGUACAUGUUCCAAAAUUGGUAAAGAGAAGAUUAGCGUGGCCCCUGUGCAAAGACCACAAGUAAAAUAGUGAAAAAAGAACAAAAAGU